rnacentral:rRNA from 1 species
UACGUAGGGGGCAAGCGUUGUCCGGAUUUAUUGGGCGUAAAGCGCGUGUAGGUGGCCACUUAGGUCCGCUGUGAAAACUUGAGGCUCAACCUCAAGCUGUCGGUGGAAACCACUUGGCUAGAGUCCGGAAGAGGAGAGUGGAAUUCCUGGUGUAGCGGUGAAAUGCGCAGAUAUCAGGAAGAACACCAAUGGCGAAGGCAGCUCUCUGGGACGGUACUGACACUGAGACGCGAAAGCGUGGGGAGCAAACAGG